rnacentral:rRNA from 1 species
CGCAAGGUUAAAACUCAAAUGAAUUGACGGGGGCCCGCACAAGCGGUGGAGCAUGUGGUUUAAUUCGAUGCAACGCGAAGAACCUUACCUACUCUUGACAUCCAGAGAACUUUCCAGAGAUGGAUUUGUGCCUUCGGGAACUCUGAGACAGGUGCUGCAUGGCUGUCGUCAGCUCGUGUUGUGAAAUGUUGGGUUAAGUCCCGCAACGAGCGCAACCCUUAUCCUUUGUUGCCUGCGCGUGAUGGCGGGAACUCAAAGGAGACUGCCGGUGAUAAACCGGAGGAAGGUGGGGAUGACGUCAAGUCAUCAUGGCCCUUACGAGUAGGGCUACACACGUGCUACAAUGGCGUAUACAAAGGGAAGCGACCCCGCGAGGGCAAGCGGAACUCAUAAAGUACGUCGUAGUCCGGAUUGGAGUCUGCAACUCGAC